rnacentral:rRNA from 1 species
AUUGAACGCUGGCGGCAGGCUUAACACAUGCAAGUCGAGCGGGGGAAGGUAGCUUGCUACCGGACCUAGCGGCGGACGGGUGAGUAAUGCUUAGGAAUCUGCCUAUUAGUGGGGGACAACAUCUCGAAAGGGAUGCUAAUACCGCAUACGUCCUACGGGAGAAAGCGGGGGAUCUUCGGACCUUGCGCUAAUAGAUGAGCCUAAGUCGGAUUAGCUAGUUGGUGGGGUAAAGGCCUACCAAGGCGACGAUCUGUAGCGGGUCUGAGAGGAUGAUCCGCCACACUGGGACUGAGACACGGCCCAGACUCCUACGGGAGGCAGCAGUGGGGAAUAUUGGACAAUGGGGGGAACCCUGAUCCAGCCAUGCCGCGUGUGUGAAGAAGGCCUUAUGGUUGUAAAGCACUUUAAGCGAGGAGGAGGCUACUCUAGUUAAUACCUAGGGAUAGUGGACGUUACUCGCAGAAUAAGCACCGGCUAACUCUGUGCCAGCAGCCGCCGUAA